rnacentral:lncRNA from 1 species
AUGCUCUUCUGGGUUUCCACAGACCUUCAUGGAAAGGAAAGGGUAAAAAGAUUAGAGUUGAGGAGAGGAAGACUGAAUUCUGAAGAAAGGAGUGUUAUUCAUGCAAGUCAAAGUGACCCAGAUGAAUUGAGUAGAACUCCAAGUUUUUAAAAGGCAAUUAUGAAGAUCAAGUGAAACAAUUACACAGUAAAGAG